GGCGCUGGAGAACUGAGGGGGGCUGCUCCUAGUACGAGAGGACCGGAGUGGACGCAUCACUGGUGUUCGGGUUGUCAUGCCAAUGGCACUGCCCGGUAGCUAAAUGCGGAAGAGAUAAGUGCUGAAAGCAUCUAAGCACGAAACUUGCCCCGAGAUGAGUUCUCCCUGAGACUUUAGGUCUCCUGAAGGAACGUUGAAGACGACGACGUUGAUAGGCCGGGUGUGUAAGCGCAGCGAUGCGUUGAGCUAACCGGUACUAAUGAACCGUGAGGCUUAACCUUACAACGCCGAAG
rnacentral:rRNA from 1 species